rnacentral:rRNA from 1 species
GAUUGCAGGCUGCAACUCGCCUGCAUGAAGUCGGAAUUGCUAGUAAUCGUAGGUCAGCAUACUACGGUGAAUACGUUCCCGGGGCCUUGUACACACCGCCCGUCAAACCAUGAGAGUUGGCAACACCCGAAGUCGGUAGUCUAACCGCAAGGAGGACGCCGCCGAAGGUGGGGUUGAUGAUUAGGGUUAAGUCGUAACAAGGUAUC